UACCAUACCAUUGUUCCAUCGCCAUGGAGAUGAUGAGCCGAAAAGCACUGGCAAGAGGCCUCCCAUGCAGGAUGAAGCCAAAGAAGAAGACGGAGAGAAGAGAGGAAGGACACGCCUAUUAACCAGAGGACCCAAAACAUAUCUCAAGGAGCUCAUGAAGUCACCCUCAUGCAUACAGUUUCCCAGGUGUCAGAUCUGUUUGAGCUUCAGAGAGGCAGUGGCUGCAGGGAAAGACACAGAGAGGAGAACUAGACUCUCGCCCCACUAUGCCAAAGUGGCCCGUGCCUUCUGGUCUUUUCCUUUCCACUGAUUCUGCUCUUCUGCAGGUAUAAUUAGUAAGGAUGGGGUAAAGCUGGAGUAGGGUGGGUCUUUCAUUCAAUAUAGUGAGUGUCCUUAUAAAAAUAAGGUAUCUGGCUGCAGGGCCACACACUCAAGAAAAACACCACGUGGGGAUGAAGGCAGAGAGCAAGGUGAUACAGCUGAAGCCAAGGACGCUGAAGACUUCCUGCAAACCCCCAGAAGCUGGGGGAGAGGCUCUGCCAGUCUUCAGAAGGAGCCAACCCUGCUGAUACCUUGACCUUGAACUCCUAGCCCCAGAACUAUGAGAAAUAAAUUUCUGUUAUUUAAGCCACUCAGUUGUCUUACUUGGUUGUGGCAGCCCUGAGAGG
rnacentral:lncRNA from 1 species